CUACGGGAGGCACCAGUGAGGAAUAUUGGACAAUGGGCGAAAGCCUGAUCCAGCAAUGCCGCGUGUGUGAAGAAGGCCUGCGGGUUGUAAAGCACUUUCAGUAGGGAGGAAACAGUAACGGAAUAAUACCCGUUACCUUGACGUUACCUACAGAAGAAGCACCGGCUAACUCUGUGCCAGCAGCCGCGGUAAUACAGGAGGGUGCAAGCGUUAAUCGGAAUUACUGGGCGUAAAGCGCGCGUAGGUGGUUUGGUCAGUCGGAUGUGAAAGCCCCGGGCUUAACCUGGGAAUUGCAUUCGAUACUGCCAGACUAGAGUGUAGGAGAGGGAAGCGGAAUUCCAGGUGUAGCGGUGAAACGCGUAGAUAUCUGGAGGAACAUCAGUGGCGAAGGCGGCUUCCUGGACUAACACUGACACUGAGGUGCGAAAGCGUGGGGAGCAAACAGGAUUAGAUACCCGAGUAGUC
rnacentral:rRNA from 1 species